rnacentral:rRNA from 1 species
AUACGGAGGAUCCGAGCGUUAUCCGGAUUUAUUGGGUUUAAAGGGUGCGCAGGCGGGAGAUUAAGUCGGCGGUGAAAUUUUGCAGCUCAACUGUAAAAAUGCCUUUGAAACUGGUUUCCUUGAGUGUAGAUGAUGUAGGGGGAAUUUCGGGGUUAGCGGUGAAAUGCAUAGAUAUCAAGAGGAACUCCGAUUGCGCAGGCAGCUUACUAAACUACUACUGACGCUCAGGCACGAAGGCGUGGGGAUCAAACAGGAUUAGAUACCCUGGUAGUCCACGCAGUAAACGAUGAUUACUAGCUGUUUGCGAUACAAUGUAAGCGGCUGAGCGAAAGCGUUAAGUAAUCCACCUGGGGAGUACGUUCGCAAGAAUGAAACUCAAAUGAAUUGACGGGG